UCUGGUGCAUAUAGCUUUGGGGUAAUACCCGUUCCCAUUUCGAAUACGGAAGUGAAGUCCAAAGCGCUAAUGAUACUUGGCUGGUAACGGCCCGGGAAAGUAAGUCGUGCCAGAU
rnacentral:rRNA from 1 species